ACGGCUCACCAAGGCAACGAUGCGUAGCCGACCUGAGAGGGUGAUCGGCCACACUGGGACUGAGACACGGCCCAGACUCCUACGGGAGGCAGCAGUAGGGAAUCUUCCGCAAUGGACGAAAGUCUGACGGAGCAACGCCGCGUGAGUGAUGAAGGCUUUCGGGUCGUAAAACUCUGUUGUUAGGGAAGAACAAGUGCUAGUUGAAUAAGCUGGCACCUUGACGGUACCUAACCAGAAAGCCACGGCUAACUACGUGCCAGCAGCCGCGGUAAUACGUAGGUGGCAAGCGUUAUCCGGAAUUAUUGGGCGUAAAGCGCGCGCAGGUGGUUUCUUAAGUCUGAUGUGAAAGCCCACGGCUCAACCGUGGAGGGUCAUUGGAAACUGGGAGACUUGAGUGCAGAAGAGGAAAGUGGAAUUCCAUGUGUAGCGGUGAAAUGCGUAGAGAUAUGGAGGAACACCAGUGGCGAAGGCGACUUUCUGGUCUGUAACUGACACUGAGGCGCGAAAGCGUGGGGAGCAAACAGGAUUAGAUAC
rnacentral:rRNA from 1 species